AUCCAGAUGACGAGUCCCAAAUAGGAUAAAAUUCGCAUUCUGGAU
rnacentral:hammerhead_ribozyme from 1 species